rnacentral:rRNA from 1 species
GACGAACGCUGGCGGCGUGCCUAAUACAUGCAAGUCGAACGCAGUGGCGAACGGGUGAGUAACGCGUAUGUAACUGCCGCAGAGCGGGGGAUAACGAUUGGGAACGAAAGCUAAUACCCCAUACUGUGAGAUGGACCUGCGUUGUAUUGGGUAGUUGGUGAGGUAAAGGGCCACCAAGGCGACGAUUCAUAAGCGACCUGAGAGGGUGAUCGACCACAAUGGGACUGAGACACGGCUCAGACUCCUACGGGAGGCCACAGUAGGGAAUCUUCGGCAAUGGACGGAAGGCUGAACGAGCAACGCCGCGUGAGUGAAGAAGGUUUUCGGAUCGUAAAGCUAUGUUGUUAGAGAAGCGUUAACUAACCAGAAAGGGACGGCUAACUACGUGCCAGCAGCCGCGGUAAUAC